CCUACGGGAGGCAGCAGUGGGGAAUUUUGGACAAUGGGCGCAAGCCUGAUCCAGCAAUGCCGCGUGCAGGAUGAAGGCCUUCGGGUUGUAAACUGCUUUUGUACGGAACGAAACGGUGAGCUCUAAUACAGUUUGCUAAUGACGGUACCGUAAGAAUAAGCACCGGCUAACUACGUGCCAGCAGCCGCGGUAAUACGUAGGGUGCGAGCGUUAAUCGGAAUUACUGGGCGUAAAGCGUGCGCAGGCGGUGAUGUAAGACAGAUGUGAAAUGCCCGGGCUCAACCUGGGACCUGCAUUUGUGACUGCAUCGCUAGAGUACGGUAGAGGGGGAUGGAAUUCCGCGUGUAGCAGUGAAAUGCGUAGAUAUGCGGAGGAACACCGAUGGCGAAGGCAAUCCCCUGGACCUGUACUGACGCUCAUGCACGAAAGCGUGGGGAGCAAACAGGAUUAGAUACCCUGGUAGUCCACGCCCUAAACGAUGUCAACUGGUUGUUGGGUCUUCACUGCUCAGUAACGAAGCUAACGCGUGAAGUUGACCGCCUGGGGAGACGCGCGAGUAGAAGACANAGAGUAGAGGNGNGAGAGCGCGGACGGACGACGACGAGGGAGGAGG
rnacentral:rRNA from 1 species